rnacentral:rRNA from 1 species
UUGGAGGGCAAGUCUGGUGCCAGCAGCCGCGGUAAUUCCAGCUCCAAUAGCGUAUAUUAAAGUUGUUGCAGUUAAAAAACUCGUAGUUGAGUUUCGGGAUCAAUUUGCCGGUCGAGACCUCUGGUACGUACUUGUAUUAUUGAUUUCUUUCAUUCUGAUAAAUCAUUGAUGUCAUUAAUUUGAUGACUUUGAGGAAUCGGAACUUUUACUUUGAAAAAAUUAGAGUGUUUAAAGCAGGCUUAUUAGGCUUGAAUACAUUAGCAUGGAAUAAUGAAAUAGGACGAUUGAUCCUAUUUUUGUUGGUUUCUAGGAUUGACGUAAUGAUUAAUAGGGAUAGUUGGGGGCAUUAGUAUUCAAUUGUCAGAGGUGAAAUUCUUGGAUUUAUUGAAGACUAACUACUGCGAAAGCAUUUGCCAAGGAUGUUUUCAUUAAUCAAGAACGAAAGUUAGGGGAUCGAAGACGAUCAGAUACCGUCGUAGUCUUAACCAUAAACUAUGCCGACUAGGGAUCGGAUGAUGUUAAUUUUUUUUAAUGACUCAUUCGGCGCCUUACGGGAAACCAAAGUGUUUGGGUUC